rnacentral:rRNA from 1 species
GACGAACGCUGGCGGCGUGCCUAAUACAUGCAAGUAGAACGCAGUUGCGAACGGGUGAGUAACGCGUAGGUAACUGCCUCAUAGUGGGGGAUAACUAUUGGAAACGCUUGCUAAUACCGCCUACUGUGAGAUGGACCUGCGUUGGAUUAGCUAGUUGGUGAGGUAAAGGGUCACCAAGGCGACCAUACAUAGCCGAACGGGGAGGGGGGACGGCCACACCGGGAAUGGGACACGGCCCAGACGCCCUAGGGAGGCAGCCGUAUGGGAACUUUGGGAAUGGGAGGAAGGCCGAACCGGCAACGCCGGGUGAGUGAAGAAGGGUUUCGGAUCGUAAAGCUCUGUUGGUAGAGAAGCGGUAACUAACCAGAAAGGGACGGCUAACUACGUGCCAGCAGCCGCGGUAAUAC